UACGGAGGGUGCAAGCGUUGUCCGGAUUUAUUGGGUUUAAAGGGUGCGUAGGCGGCCGAUUAAGUCUGGGGUGAAAGCCCGUUGCUCAACAACGGAACUGCCCUGGAAACUGGUCGGCUUGAGUACAGACGAGGUUGGCGGAAUGGAUGCUGUAGCGGUGAAAUGCAUAGAUAGCAUCCAGAACCCCGAUUGCGAAGGCAGCUGACUAGGCUGUAACUGACGCUGAGGCACGAAAGCGUGGGGAGCGAACAGG
rnacentral:rRNA from 1 species